rnacentral:lncRNA from 1 species
GUGUUACCGAAAGUAAUGUUAAUUCAGCACUUGUUACCAUUCAGCAUGUAGAUGUAGACGUCUCAGAAGCUACAAUUAUGUCUACCGAUAGACCUCCGGUAGAUUCUCUUACAGAAAUAUCUCCUGUUCAGAAUGUCUUACCAGAGGAGCCAGUGCAGACAACUCCUACAGAAUUGAAAGAGGUUUCACCUAAUCCCUCCACAGAAGGGUUGCCAAAAGCUCUGACAGAUAAGGAUGUUGUCGAAAUCACAUAUGUGACCACAGUGCCAGAAAUUCUGUCACCCACUACAUCUGUAAAUGCAUCACCUGAUGUUGUAUCAACAGAGGAUGAACCUAAAGACAUUGAAAUUGUUACAUUACUUGACAAAAAGGAGGAGGAAGAGACACCCUACACUAAACCUACACCAGAGAUGACAACAAAUGAAGAACUACCAGGUACCAUGACAGAUUCUUCUACAGAAAUAUCUCCUGUUCAGAAUGUCUUACCAGAGGAGCCAGUGCAGACAACUCCUACAGAAUUGAAAGAGGUUUCACCUAAUCCCUCCACAGAAGGGUUGCCAAAAGCUCUGACAGAUAAGGAUGUUGUCGAAAUCACAUAUGUGACCACAGUGCCAGAACUUCUGUCACCCACUACACCUUCAAAUACAUCACCUGAUGUUGUAUCAACAGAGGAUGAACCUAAAGACAUUGAAAUUGUUACAUUACUUGACAAAAAGGAGGAGGAAGAGACACCCUACACUAAACCAACACCAAAGAUGACAACAAAUGAAGAACUACCAGGUACCAUGACAGAUUCUUCUACAGAAAUAUCUCCUGUUCAGAAUGUCUUACCAGAGGAGCCAGUGCAGACAACUCCUACAGAAUUGAAAGAGGUUUCACCUAAUCCCUCCACAGAAGGGUUGCCAAAAGCUCUGACAGAUAAGGAUGUUGUCGAAAUCACAUAUGUGACCACAGUGCCAGAAAUUCUGUCCCCCACUACACCUGUAAAUAUAUCACCUGAUGUUGUAUCAACAGAGGAUGAACCUAAAGACAUUGAAAUUGUUACAUUACUUGACAAAAAGGAGGAAGAGACACCCUACACUAAACCUACACCAGAGAUGACAACAAAUGAAGAACUACCAGGUACCAUGACAGAGAGUACUCAUGAAGAGUCAAAGGAAACACAUCAGCCUUUAAAUGUCUCAACUGAGUUUGAAGAGGAUCAGUUAGGUAAGGAAGAGGACAUUAUAACUGAGUCCCCAGAAGUUGCUGAGGUCACACCUGGAGAGACACCUAGAUUGACACAGGAAACUACAGAAGCUACCGAAUCUGUGUUUACUGAGAAAAACAUGCAUGUUGAUGAGGACAUAACUACCAUUGCGAGACCUGGUGAGAUGACAAAAGAGGCAACAGAAGUUGCUGGGGUUGAAUUUGAAGACAUUGACACAGACAAAGUGACAGUUCUUGAAAACACGCUUGAAGAUUUAGUUGGAGGAACAAGUGAAGCUAUUGCUGAAUUGGGUGAUGUAACUGAAGCUGUCAUCUUAGAAGAAUCAUCUGAGGAAAGUCCUGAAGAAACUUCUACUAAAAGAACAGAAACUUCUACUAAGACCACAAGUCAAACCACAACUGGAAUCACACCCAAGGCCACACUUGAUACUUCUUUUGACAUUGGUACCCCUGAAACUGACAUUGUAGAGUUUGUAACUAAAGGCAUGGAAGAUAAGCUAGAAGACACAACUAAAAUGGAUGAAGGUGAUCUGGAAACAAUUUUCAAAGUUGUUGAAGGCGCAAUGCCAGAUCUUAAUGUUAAUAAGUUGGAAAAAGAUAUACUGACAACUGCCAUAAACAAGGACAUACAUGAAGUUACAGAGCCACCAAAAAUUCCAGAGGACACACAUAAAGUUAUGGUGGAAAUCACACAUGAAGUCACAGAUGUGCAUGAGACCAGAGGAGACACCUUACCUGAGACACCUGAAGCUGCAACAGAGACACCGAAGGUCAUUACAGAAGCUGAUGUCACAAAAGAGACAACUCAUUUCAUAUCUCAAGCACCCAAAGUUAUACUGAAGACAGGUGGAGCCAUCUCAGAGACACCUGAGGUGACAUCUCAGACACCUUUGUUGAUAUCUGAACUUUCAGAGGUGACUGAGAGAGUACCUGAAACACCUGAGAUACAUGUGGUCCAUCCAGAACCUGCAGAGGACGACAUCCCAACUCCUAUCUUGAAAGUAGAGGAUAUCACAGUUGUACUAAAUGACUUGACAACUACUAUUCAAAAGACUUUCUCCACCACAUUACAAAACUUGCCACA